AGCACCGACUGACUCGCCAGCAACUCCCCCACCCCCUUGGCCUUCUAGCGAUCCCCUCCCACUAAUGCAGCAUCACCCUGUGAAUUACAUUAGGGUGGUUUUCCCCCCAGCCUCAGGCUUUGUUUGGGUUUGAUUGUGUUUGGCUCUUCGCUAAGCUGAUUUAUGCAGCAGAGCCCCAUCGGCUGGGGAGAAACAAAAGCUUUUUUCUUUGUCUGGGAGCGGACUGUGCAGCCCGUACUUGCUUCGCCCCCGCGGGCCAUCGGCUGUCUUAGGAGGUGCUUUUGGUUGAGACUGCAAGCCCCGGCUGUGCAAAGCUGGGAGGGCCUCAGGGGCCCUGAGAUGCAGAGAGCUGCCCUGGCCCGCAUACCUGUAUCGCCUACUCAGAGCGACUGGGUCGAUCAACCCGGCCUGUUGAAAAGUUCCUAGGGAUUCUCGGCCCACGAGCCUCAAGGUGCGCUCCCAAGGCGCGAGAGCGCAUCAGGAAAGCAACUAGGCAGCGUGCACGGGGCAGGCUGCUUUGCAGUAUGUGUGGGUCGGCCCUGGCUUUUCUGACUGCUGCACUGCUCUGCCUGCACAACUGCCAGCGAGGUCCAGCGUUGGUUCUUGGGGCGGCCUGGGUAUUUUCACUUGUUCUCGGAUUGGGCCAAAGUGGUAAGUUAUUUUGCUUUGUUUUCUUCCCUUUUCCCAAAGUCUUGGGCUGGUAUUAAGAGCUUAUGGCCUGGGCAUCCCAGACAGGUAAGUGGUAGAUGUCAGUCCUGGUCAGUCCUGAGAUUUCAGGAGGGCAGGUGUGUAAUAAAGCUCUCCAAAAAAAAAAAAAAAAAAAAAAAAAAAA
rnacentral:lncRNA from 1 species